rnacentral:pre_miRNA from 1 species
CAAGUACUCCCUCCGUCCAGAAUUACUUGUCAUCAAAAUGGAUGUGUCUAUAAUUAAAAUACAUCUAGACACAUCCAUUUCAAUGACAAGUAUUUUCGGACGGAGGGAGUACAAG